GGAAAUGGAACUGAACAAGGAGUACAGUGUUGAUGAGUGGCAUGGGCUUCUAUUGACACUACAGGGAAUAACAUAGUCUGUGGUGUUUUUGGAAUCUCAUUAUAAAUGGUAUCUAACUCCUGUCUCUUUAAACAACAUUGUCUAGAGCUGAUACAUGUUUGAGGAAGUGCAGGCAGGUACGUACACUAUUUAACAUCUUUUGGUCCUGUCCUUAGCUGAACACCUACU